ACGUUUAAGUUGGUAAUUUCGCGAGGUUUUCAUUAGGGGUUAGUAGAUACAAUUUUUUUUUCCGGCACACGAUGUUUGCUACUAUACCGCCGUAAAGCCUCUACCCGAUCCGAUGUUCGAAAUCGACAACCACGAGUUGUGCUGCAGUUGAAUUCGACCGGUACAUCGGUUGAAAACCCGAUUUGUAACGAUUUCUUUCGUAUUCCGGAGACGCCGUAUUUAUAGUACAGGCGUUUCUCACUCGAACACUCCCGGACAAAUAGCGGCGUUGAAGAAAACCCGACGUGGACCCGGGCCGGUGCUCGCCCGCUAUAGUUAUCGACCCUUAAAACCCACCGCCGUCCCCGUGCCCGCCGAAAAUUAUUAAUAUCGCCCGACAGGUUUUCUCACGCGCAACACGCCUGUAAUGUGUUAUAAUGCUGUUAUUAGUUUUCCGGC